AUUGAACGCUGGCGGCAUGCCUUACACAUGCAAGUCGAACGGCAGCACGGGAGCAAUCCUGGUGGCGAGUGGCGAACGGGUGAGUAAUAUAUCGGAACGUGCCCGGUCGUGGGGGAUAACGUAGCGAAAGCUACGCUAAUACCGCAUACGAUCUACGGAUGAAAGCGGGGGAUCGCAAGACCUCGCGCGAUUGGAGCGGCCGAUAUCAGAUUAGGUAGUUGGUGAGGUAAAGGCUCACCAAGCCGACGAUCUGUAGCUGGUCUGAGAGGACGACCAGCCACACUGGGACUGAGACACGGUCCAGACUCCUACGGGAGGCAGCAGUGGGGAAUAUUGGACAAUGGGCGCAAGCCUGAUCCAGCAAUGCCGCGUGCAGGAUGAAGGCCUCGG
rnacentral:rRNA from 1 species